CCUACGGGAGGCAGCAGUGGGGAAUAUUGCACAAUGGGCGCAAGCCUGAUGCAGCGACGCCGCGUGCGGGAUGACGGCCUUCGGGUUGUAAACCGCUUUUGACUGGGAGCAAGCCCUUCGGGGUGAGUGUACCUUUCGAAUAAGCACCGGCUAACUACGUGCCAGCAGCCGCGGUAAUACGUAGGGUGCAAGCGUUAUCCGGAAUUAUUGGGCGUAAAGGGCUCGUAGGCGGUUCGUCGCGUCCGGUGUGAAAGUCCAUCGCUUAACGGUGGAUCCGCGCCGGGUACGGGCGGGCUUGAGUGCGGUAGGGGAGACUGGAAUUCCCGGUGUAACGGUGGAAUGUGUAGAUAUCGGGAAGAACACCAAUGGCGAAGGCAGGUCUCUGGGCCGUCACUGACGCUGAGGAGCGAAAGCGUGGGGAGCGAACAGGAUUAGAUACCCUGGUAGUCCACGCCGUAAACGGUGGAUGCUGGAUGUGGGGACCAUUCCACGGUCUCCGUGUCGGAGCCAACGCGUUAAGCAUCCCGCCUGGGGAGUACGGCCGCAAGGCUAAAACUCAAAGAAAUUGACGGGGGCCCGCACAAGCGGCGGAGCAUGCGGAUUAAUUCGAUGCAACGCGAAGAACCUUACCUGGGCUUGACAUGUUCCCGACAGCCCCAGAGAUGGGGCCUCCCUUCGGGGCGGGUUCACAGGUGGUGCAUGGUCGUCGUCAGCUCGUGUCGUGAGAUGUUGGGUUAAGUCCCGCAACGAGCGCAACCCUCGCCCUGUGUUGCCAGCACGUCAUGGUGGGAACUCACGGGGGACCGCCGGGGUCAACUCGGAGGAAGGUGGGGAUGACGUCAGAUCAUCAUGCCCCUUACGUCCAGGGCUUCACGCAUGCUACAAUGGCCGGUACAACGGGAUGCGACCUCGUGAGGGGGAGCGGAUCCCUUAAAACCGGUCUCAGUUCGGAUUGGAGUCUGCAACCCGACUCCAUGAAGGCGGAGUCGCUAGUAAUCGCGGAUCAGCAACGCCGCGGUGAAUGCGUUCCCGGGCCUUGUACACACCGCCCGUCAAGUCAUGAAAGUGGGUAGCACCCGAAGCCGGUGGCCCAACCUUUUUUGGGGGGAGCCGUCUAAGGUGAGACUCGUGAUUGGGACUAAGUCGUAACAAGGUAGCCGUACCGGAAGGUGCGGCUG
rnacentral:rRNA from 1 species